CCAGACUCCUACGGGAGGCAGCAGUGGGGAAUAUUGCACAAUGGGGGAAACCCUGAUGCAGCGACGCCGCGUGAGCGAUGAAGUAUUUCGGUAUGUAAAGCUCUAUCAGCAGGGAAGAAGAUGACGGUACCUGACUAAGAAGCCCCGGCUAACUACGUGCCAGCAGCCGCGGUAAUACGUAGGGGGCAAGCGUUAUCCGGAUUUACUGGGUGUAAAGGGAGCGUAGACGGCGAUGCAAGCCAGAUGUGAAAGCCCGGGGCUCAACCCCGGGACUGCAUUUGGAACUGUGUGGCUGGGGUGUCGGAGAGGCAGGCGGAAUUCCUAGUGUAGCGGUGAAAUGCGUAGAUAUUAGGAGGAACACCAGUGGCGAAGGCGGCCUACUGGACGGUGACUGACGCUGAGGCUCGAAAGCGUGGGGAGCAAACAGGAUUAGAUACCCUAGUAC
rnacentral:rRNA from 1 species